UUACCCAAAUAAACAUUUCUCUCUCUUUCCUCUCACCUUUUCUCUUCCCCUCUCUCUCUCUAACCCUAACCUAAUAACGCCGUCGACGUCGCCAGCAUUCCUGCCAGUCACCGUCGUCGCCGACGCCCCUACCCAGUCCCGUCGUUUCCCUCGCCGUCGACGGCGAACCAUAGGAGGUCUUUGCUGAAUAGAUUUUCCAAUUUCCAACAGGUCUGAGGUGGGUUCUUGUUAUUCUCAGUUUGGUUCUAAAAAUAAAGAUGAUUAUAGCUAUACACGUGGCAGUAAGUCUGAUGGUUCAGUUGAUAUAGAAAAUGGUGAUGAUGAAAGUAAUAA